UAGUUUUUCAGGUAUGUAGUUUGCACAGUGCUAAUUGAUGUGGUAUAAGCUUCAAUUACUUGUUAGCUCCAGUGCUAAACUGAUGAAGCAAACUUCAAACAUCAAACCAUGUUUUGGCUGAUCAACCACAUUGAUUUUUGGGCAGACUGUUGCUGUACGUGUUAGCUUGGGGGUUUGUUUCUUUAGCUCAGGGGCCAGUGCUCAGGUCUCCCAAUCCAAACAUCCCAAGAAUGGACACCCCCCACCUCCAGAACAAGGUCGGUUACACAAUACAGUUGCAAACACAAACCAUGGUUGUUCUGCAGUUGGCUGGAUUGUGAGUCUGCCAUGUUACAUAAGCUCUGUAAGUGUGGUUCUCUCACUCUUGUAACACAAGCCAGAACCACUCUGAUUAUCUCUAUCUGGCCUUAGCCAACUGGGCUGAGCUGGGGACCGGUUUCCUUUUCUUGAAGAGGUGGUUGGUAAAGGUUUGGGGAAGGGGUACUGACCCUUGGUCUGGGUUAAAGAGAAGGCGGCUGAAAGUUUUACUUCACUGCAUCACUCUGUUGGAAUCUUCCUGUGGGAGGAUAUGCAUGAGAAAAGUCAUUGUUCAAGAUAUUGGUCGUACUCCAGGUUUUGGCAGGUCAUUGACUUGACGAAUGACCUUGCGAAGCUUACAGGCUGAGGAGCCCAACAGCCCCCAUCCGCUCUGCUCCAGACUCUCACAGCGAUCCCCAGGAAAACUCCCAGAACAGAGCUGUUCAGGAAUAGAAACAGAUCCGUGCCCAGUACUGAGGAAGGACGCUGAUGUAGUAUUGUAGUAUCGUUCAUGGACACUUGAGUCCCUCUGGUCUCUCUCUCUCUCUCUCUCUCUCUCUCUCUGUCCCUCUCUCUCCCUGUCUCUGUGUCUGAGAAGCGCAUCCACACCCAGUCCAGCAGGAAGGUUCGGGGUGGUGUUUUGUUAUGGUCAUCUCGU